rnacentral:lncRNA from 1 species
CUUUUCUUUUGUCUUUUUCCUUUUAUGGUAUUGAGAAUUGGAUUCAGGACCUUUGCAUUGAGCUAUAUUCCCAGCCUUUUUUAAUUUUUUAUUUUGAGACAGGAUCUUGCUAAAUUGUCCAGGGUAACUUUAAACUUGUGAUCCUCCUGCCUCUGCCUCCCAAAGUGCUGGCAUGCUGGCAGGUAUCACCAUGCCCAGCUAAAUUUCUGGUUCUUUUUGGAGCCCACUGGGGCACUCCGGGGGCUUGGUGGGAAAGCUUACCUUGAGGGAAGCAGGUGGUUGCUUCAGAUGUGCCUUCAAGAUGCCUCCAGGGUGGGGAGGUCUUUCUCGGAUCACACAGCAGAUUCAAAGCAGCCUGAAGACAGUUUCCAGCUGGGACUGAAGGGGAAUUCCUGUCAGCACCCUACUCGGAACAAAGCCCUUGGUGAAGUCAAGAUGGCCUUUGGUGAAAGCAGGAAACGGGGAAGGCAGGAAGGCUGGAGCUGCACCUCAGCUGCACAGAUGACCAAAGUCAAGCCAGGAGUGGUUCAGUCACGCAUGCCCAAAAAGCCUGAGCUCACUCCCACCCUCCAUGCUCAACACGCCUGGGAAGCCUGCAAGCCAAGAACAGCCACUCACCCAAAGCACUGUGCAUCUCCCGAGACCGGCCAAGGGCACCCACAUGCAGAAAGUCUCCUUCAAAGGAAUCAUUGCUGCAGCGAAGUCACCGUUUGUGGAUAUCAUAAAAGAAGCCUGCAAAGGUCAGGAGUGGUGCCUGAACCUGUUGCCGGAUAGUGAGGGUUCAGAGUACUCAGGAUGAGUACUGGCAGCCUUCCAGAAAAGUGGGGAGGAUGUUCUUCAGAUGACGCGUGAAAAACCUGAAUGAUGGUCUUUUACCUUCCAGUGAUUUAUUUUAUGAAUCAUUGAAUUUUUUUCUCUACUUGCUUCUUCAUUUGCAAAAUGGGUGAUUCUUCUUUCAUCCUUCACUCAAGGUUUUUGAAGGAUAUAGGAGGAGGAGAUUUGUCUAUAUUUAGAAGGUAGCUGAGACAUUUUUACAUAAAGAAUAAA